ACUGACCCUAGCCCAAGCACAUAUACACCCAACAACUACAAACACCUAAACUAAAGCAUUUAAUUUCAAAGAAGUAUAGGAGAUAGAAACUAAACUAAGGCGCUAUAGAGAAAGUACCGUAAGGGAAAGAUGAAAGAUGAAUCAACAGUAAAAAAUAGCAAAGAUUAACCCUUGUACCUUUUGCAUAAUGAACUAGCCAGAACAAUUUUAGCAAAGAGACCUGAAGUUAAAUAUCCCGAAACCAGACGAGCUACUUAUGAACAGCUAACAGAGCAAAUUCAUCUGUGUUGCAAAAUAGUGAAGUGAUUUAUAAGUAGAGGUGAUAAGCCAACCGAGCCUGGUGAUAGCUGGUUGUCCAGUACAGAAUCUUAGUUCAACUUUAAGCCCUGCCCGAAGAACCAAUAAUCCCUAUGCAGACUUAAAUGUUAAUCUAAGGGGGUACAGCUCCUUAGAACUAGGUAAAACCUUAUUUAGAGAGUAAGUAUAUAUCGACCCAUAGUUGGCUUUAAAGCAGCCAUCAAUUGAGAAAGCGUUCAAGCUCAACAGUAAAUAAUCACCCUAAUUACAUGUAUAAACAUCAACUCCUAAACCCAAACUGGACCAAUCUACAACCAUGUAGAUGAGUUACUGCUAGUAUGAGUAACAAGAAGUAAUUCUCCCUGCACAAGCCUAUAUCAGACCGGAUGCCCACUGAUAGUUAACAGUCCAAUAAGACUUAAGCCAAACCCAAGACACUUAUUCAAUUAACUGUUGACCCAACACAGGAGUGCAAAGCCUAAGGGAAAGAUUUAAAGGAGUAAAAGGAACUCGGCAAACACUAACCCCGCCUGUUUACCAAAAACAUCACCUCUAGCAUGAAAAGUAUUAGAGGCACUGCCUGCCCAGUGACAUAAGUUAAACGGCCGCGGUAUCCUGACCGUGCAAAGGUAGCAUAAUCAUUUGUUCCUUAAAUAGGGACUUGUAUGAAUGGCCACACGAGGGUUUAACUGUCUCUUACUCCCAAUCCGUGAAAUUGACCUUCCAGUGAAGAGGCUGGAAUACAUUAAUAAGACGAGAAGACCCUAUGGAGCUUUAAUUAACUAACUCACAUAUGACUAAACAAACCUAAACCAGGGAUAAAAAACAUAUUCUGAGCUAGCAAUUUCGGUUGGGGUGACCUCGGAGAAUAAAAAAUCCUCCGAAAGAACAAGCCUAGACACUACAAGUCAAAGCAACUAACUAUACAAUUGAUCCAACAAGUUGAUCAAUGGAACCAGUUACCCUAGGGAUAACAGCGCAAUCCUAUUCUAGAGUCCAUAUCGACAAUAGGGUUUACGACCUCGAUGUUGGAUCAGGACAUCCCAAUGGUGCAACCGCUAUUAAUGGUUCGUUUGUUCAACGAUUAAAGUCCUACGUGAUCUGAGUUCAGACCGGAGUAAUCCAGGUCGGUUUCUAUCUAUUAGAAACCCCUCCCAGUACGAAAGGACAAGAGGGGUAAGGCCAAUACCUCAAGCACGCCUUGAGCUUAAUAGAUGAACUCAUCUUAAUCUAGUAAGUAAUCACCAACCCUGCCCAAGAGCAGGGCUU
rnacentral:rRNA from 1 species